GAGAUGACUGUAAAUCAACACAAUUGUCUGUUGUUCUCCCUGCUUCCUUCUAUUAAAAUAAAUGUUUAGUGUAUUUUCUUAUUCUCUGACAUUCAGUUCUUCACUUGUCAGCACCUGCUGGCAGCAGCUGGAGUAAUCUUACCAAUUUUGCCGUAUGUGCAAAUCAAUUUCAUUUCCCCCCCACCAAAGAUAGAAAUCAGUAAAGUGAUUAAGUU
rnacentral:lncRNA from 1 species